rnacentral:rRNA from 1 species
GACGAACGCUGGCGGCGUGGAUUAGGCAUGCAAGUCGAACGGUAUCAUCCUUUCGGGGGUGAGAGAGUGGCGAACUGGUGAGUAACACGUAGGUUAUCUACCCUCAAGACGGGGACAACCCAGGGAAACUUGGGCUAAUACCGGAUGUGAGCAACUUUUAGUUGUUUGAAAGGUGGCGUAAGCUGUCGCUUGGGGAUGAGCCUGCGUCCUAUUAGUUAGUUGGUGAGGUAACGGCUCACCUAGGCAAUGAUAGGUAGGCGGCCUUAACGGGUGGUCGCCCACACUGGGAUUGAGAUACGGCCCAGACUCCUACGGGAGGCAGCAGUCGAGAAUAGUCUACAAUGGUCGGAAGACUGAUAGUGCGACGCCGCGUGAACGAUGAAUCCCUUCGGGGUGUAAAGUUCUUUUAUAUGUGAGCAGUGCUUCUUAUAUUAACAGUAUGGGGAGAGAGAUAUUAGCAUAUGAAUAAGCAACGGCUAACUCCGUGCCAGCAGCCGCGGUAAAGU